rnacentral:rRNA from 1 species
GACGAACGCUGGCGGCGUGCCUAAUACAUGCAAGUAGAACGCCGAAGGAGGAGCUUGCUUCUCCGGAUGAGUUGCGAACGGGUGAGUAACGCGUAGGUAACCUGCCUGGUAGCGGGGGAUAACUAUUGGAAACGAUAGCUAAUACCGCAUAACAGUAGAUAUUGCAUGAUAUCUGCUUGAAAGGUGCAAUUGCAUCACUACCAGAUGGACCUGCGUUGUAUUAGCUAGUUGGUGGGGUAACGGCUCACCAAGGCGACGAUACAUAGCCGACCUGAGAGGGUGAUCGGCCACACUGGGACUGAGACACGGCCCAGACUCCUACGGGAGGCAGCAGUAGGGAAUCUUCGGCAAUGGACGGAAGUCUGACCGAGCAACGCCGCGUGAGUGAAGAAGGUUUUCGGAUCGUAAAGCUCUGUUGUAAGAGAAGAACGAGUGUGAGAGUGGAAAGUUCACACUGUGACGGUAUCUUACCAGAAAGGGACGGCUAACUACGUG